rnacentral:rRNA from 1 species
UAGGGAAUCUUCGGCAAUGGACGAAAGUCUGACCGAGCAACGCCGCGUGAGUGAAGAAGGUUUUCGGAUCGUAAAACUCUGUUGGUAGAGAAGAACGUUGGUGAGAGUGGAAAGCUCAUCAAGUGACGGUAACUACCCAGAAAGGGACGGCUAACUACGUGCCAGCAGCCGCGGUAAUACGUAGGUCCCGAGCGUUGUCCGGAUUUAUUGGGCGUAAAGCGAGCGCAGGUGGUUUAUUAAGUCUGGUGUAAA